rnacentral:rRNA from 1 species
AUGGGAGAUGGAGACGGCGAGGGCGAGGAGGACGUCACGGACGAGCUCAGGUUUCAGGAUGCUCAUCACCAUAUGUCAGGACUCAGGAGUCGAAUCAAAACUGCGGUUCACUGUUCACAUUGGGUCUUCUAUCUGCUGGUAAAAGAACUCAAAGCAUGCUCGACGUGUACUAUUGGAAAAUCAAUAGGAGUGAUGCGGGAAGUCAUGGGAGAAAAUCUUUACAAGGAAGUGAUCGUCGCGGUGCCAAAGGAGGAUGAAGGCGAUUUUGGCUACAUCGUCAUCUGUGGGAAUGAAGUUCUUCACAGAGUUGCCAACUCCAUGGAAAAUAAGAAGCGGGACAUGAAGUUGUUAUCACAAGUCACAUGGUCACUGCAUAGCCAUUUCAUAUCGUCAUUGCGGGAAGUCAAAGAGAAGUUCAUAAUGAUAUGA